UACGAAGGGGGCUAGCGUUGUUCGGAAUCACUGGGCGUAAAGGGCGCGUAGGCGGCCGAUCAAGUCGGGGGUGAAAGCCUGUGGCUCAACCACAGAAUUGCCUUCGAUACUGUUUGGCUUGAGACCGGAAGAGGUUAGUGGAACUGCGAGUGUAGAGGUGAAAUUCGUAGAUAUUGGGAAGAACACCGGUGGCGAAGGCGGCGACCUGGUCCGUGACUGACGCUGAGGCGCGAAAGCCAGGGGAGCGAACGGG
rnacentral:rRNA from 1 species